rnacentral:rRNA from 1 species
UACGUAGGGUCCGAGCGUUGUCCGGAAUUAUUGGGCGUAAAGGGCUCGUAGGCGGUCUGUUGCGUCGGGAGUGAAAACUUACAGCUUAACUGUGAGCGUGCUUCCGAUACGGGCAGACUUGAGGUAUUCAGGGGAGAACGGAAUUCCUGGUGUAGCGGUGAAAUGCGCAGAUAUCAGGAGGAACACCGGUGGCGAAGGCGGCAUCCUGGACCGGCAUUGACGCUGAGGCGCGAAAGCGUGGGGAGCGAACAGG